AGAAUCAACGCUGGCGGCGUGCCUAACACAUGCAAGUCGAACGAGAAAGGGACUUCGGUCCUGAGUAUAGUGGCGCACGGGUGAGUAACACGUGAAUAAUCUACCUCCGAGUGGGGAAUAACCUGGAGAAAUCUAGGCUAAUACCGCAUAACACUUACGAGUCAAAGCAGCAAUGCGCUUGGAGAGGAGUUCGCGGCAGAUUAGUUAGUUGGCGGGGUAAUGGCCCACCAAGACGAUGAUCUGUAUCCGGCCUGAGAGGGCGCACGGACACACUGGAACUGAAACACGGUCCAGACUCCUACGGAGGCAGCAGUGGGGAAUUUUGCGCAAUGGGGGAAACCCUGACGCAGCAACGCCGCGUGGAGGAUGAAGUAUCUUGGUACGUAAACUCCUUUCGAUGGGGAAGAUAAUGACGGUACCUAUAGAAGAAGCCCCGGCUAACUUCGCGCCAGCAGCCGC
rnacentral:rRNA from 1 species